AGAGAAUCCUGCUAUGUAACUCAGGCUAGCCUUAAAGAUCUUCCUGCCUCAUUCACCUAAGGGCUGAAGUUCCCUGCAAAGACCAAAAUAAUGAGUAUUCAAACAUCUUUAAUUCAAGAAUUCAUCUUGAAAGCUUUCUUCUGAUCAUUGUUUUUGCCUCUAUUGAUAUCGGAGCUCAUCUGGUCUCAGUUAAUUUGCCAACCAUGGAAGCAUCAGAAGCUGUUAAAUAGGUGAUGAGCUGUCUAAAUUGGGAGAAAAGAUAUCAAAACAUGUGACUCCUUACUUCCCAUUAUAGGAAGCCAAUUUGAGUAGACUUGCAAUAAAAUUAUCUUGAAAUAAAAUCGUAGCAUCUGACUGGGAAGAAACAAAACUAUGGCUACUCUCUUGAAAUGGCAAGGGUGCUUUUCACAUAUGUGUGCAGCAGGAAAGGUCAUGGUUUGCUCAAGGUUAUAUCAAGAGGCAGAAUCAGCAGUAACCUCACUGUAAUGGUUUGGCUUUGUUUGGCCCAGGGAGUGGCACGAUUAGAAGGUGUGGACCUGUUAGAUAGAGUAGGUGUGUCACUGUGGGUGUGGGCUUUAAGAACCUAGUCCUAGCUGCCUGAAAGUCAGUAUUCUGCUAGCAGCCUUCAGAUAAAGAUGUAGAACCCUCAGCUCCUCCUGCACCAUGCCUGCCUGGAUGCUGCCAUGUUCCUACCUUGAUGAUAAUGGACUGAACCCCUGAACCUAACAUCAAUGAUGCAUUCAGAAAGCUGAGCAGGCAGCAGGAACGUGCUGGUCAAGUAGAGCACAAAGACUCACAGGGUCAGAGGAGCUAUAGUAGGCAGCCAACCAUUCACACUUGGAGAGCACGCAAGGCAUUGUAAAGAUAAACCAAGUCUGUGAAAAUCUAUCAAGAAUGGUUGUGUACAUGAAAAUGCCCACUGUAUGGCUUCAUGAACACAGUAAGGGCUGUGGGUAUUCAAUUAUAAGAACCUUAAACCAAAAGUAGUCUAGGUUUAAAUUUGGAACCUCAAAGCUGCACUCAGUACCUUCUUCAAAGAGAACCUGCCACGGCAUCUUUUUGACAUUGUGCUGCCUCAGAACUGAAUCUUUACUCAGGAAACAGACUUCCUGGGCUGUACCGAUUGACACCCAUGCUCAAUCCUUGUAGUGCCCUGACAACUAGUUGUGAUAACAGCUACCAUGUACUGGUCUGCCUGCCGUCACCCUGCACGAGAAGUUUCUAUGUGCAAUGGACAAUGGUUCACACAGAAACUCAACUGUUCCAAAGGCUGUGAAUAAGUGACUAUCGAGCGUUCAGCUGUAACUUGGAAACCUAUGCCAUGCCUUUCUCCAAGGUCAGGGGACAAAAGGAAACUAAACAGCCAAGCAAAUAAACAGAAUUUGAAAGCAGAACUAGCUGGGACGGUGGGUAAACACAACAGUGGGGGAAUAACAGAGGUGAACAUGUUCACAGAACAUUGUUAUUGCAUAUGAAAAUGUCAAAUUUUUAGAAGAAUAUGUAACUUAUUCAUGUAUUUCAAAUAGUUGCUUUCUUAUCAUAAUGAAAUGCCCAAGAAUUGUUACUCUGGGACAUGUAAUGUGAGAGUCAGUGGUGACACCCAUACGUGUUACAGAGUCUCAUCUUCUUAGCUGCAGUCUCAUAAACGCUGGCUUGAUGAUCUAUGUGUGUGGACACCAUCAGUGUGGGUUAUGUGAUUUCUUUUCUGCAGGGUGAACAAGCAUUGACAGCAAAGCAGAAAGAAAAAAAAGUAUGUUUUUUCCUCAUUUC